rnacentral:lncRNA from 1 species
GAAAAAGAAAAUUCCCGUGUGCUCGCGAAGCGACGCAACAAUUCCCCCCAGCAUCAAAGGAAGCACUCGGGGCGCGCCCCAGCGCCAGCGCCAGCCCCACCACCGGCCCCUCCUCCUCCUCACCGCCCUCCCCAUUCCCCGCUCCCCUCGCCGUGGUCCCGGGGAAACCCUAGCCGCGCCGCCCCCGCCGCCAUGGACGACGACGCCAUCACGGCGCUCAUGGACAUCGACGACUCCCCCCGCAGCAGCGGCGCCGGCGCCGUCUUCCUCGACGACGACGAGGACGCGGAGGUCCUCCACGGCCACCGCACGGCCCGCGCCAACGAGCCGCGCGGCCCCCUCCCCUUCGCGGGGUUCUACAACUCCUUCGACGGCGCCGACUUCGACGACGCCGACCUUGCCUGAAACGCCCACCGGGUAAUGUGGGGGUGAGGGGUUCGUCUUGGUGAAGUUCGAGAGGCUGAUCUGUCGAUGGGGUGUCUUCUAGUUAGUUCGUCGGUUAGAACUCGUUUGAUACAUCUCGAGAGGCUUUGAGAUCAAUCUAGGUUACCUUUAACUGCUAUGUUCUUCGAUCUCUAUGCCUGCAUGUUCCGUUGGUUGGUUAAGAACAAGUGCCUUUUGGCUUGAUCAAUACCAUCUCUGCGAGUUACUCUGAUUUUUCGUUUUAUCACUGCUUCGAUUCGCAAGAUAGCGAUUCCUCGUUUUGUUAAUGCUUUGAUUCACAAUUGAGGUCUUUGAUACGUGAUAUGUUAGGCUUCAAUC